AGAAAGCGCCGGGGCCGCGUUGGAUGCGGCUGACGAGGUGAGAGGUGAUCGAAGCAUUCGGCGGAUGCCUCUCCGCCCCCCUUCCGGGCGCAGCAGGGACAAAACCGCGGGGCAACCCGCGGGACAAAUCC
rnacentral:ncRNA from 1 species